CUGAGAAAUUGCCACAGAUACUGAAGGCACACAGUAGAUCAUUAGCUAAGGCAAGAACUGAGAUGAGUUUCUUUGAUUUGUGAAUGUGUCCUCACCACCUGAUUAGGUAAUUUUUAUUGCAGAAGCAAAUAUUCAAUCUUUAUUAUGUGCACUGCAGUACAAUCUAGCAAGCUACAAGCAUGGGUAUGAAACCCACGGUUUUAGUCUGCAAACUCAAACCAAAAAUACAGGAUAGUGAGGAAAAAGAUGGAUGAAAGAGCAGUGCAUCUCAGAGCAUUUUUAUCGAGGGUCUAUUUCUCUGUGUUUCUGCAUGUCCUGGCCACUACCACAGCCAUAACAUGAAUCUGACAGCUUUGACAUCUUCUUUUCUCUCUUUGGAAAACUGGUGAUGAAACAAGAUUUCUGAAGUAAGUGGCUGUCAGUCAGUACCCAAUAUGCACACAGCUGUUGGUUUCGCACUCUUCUAAGCAAAAAUCAGCAAUAAGUGGAAAGAUAUAUACACAUGAAGAAAUCUGGAAAGCCACCGGAUGUGUCAAGAUGAGCCUCAAGUGAAGAUUCACCUUGAGUCUCAUUAUGACAUGAGACUGCUGCCAAGUGGACAGCCGAUCUCAGAGCAGAUCUGACUACAGAAGACAAGCACCUACAGAGAGGAUUCCUUCACCAUCAACAGGAGGACCCUGUCCAAGUCAUCUCCCAACCUAAAAGAUGGCAGGAAAGUAUCUGCCUUUUAAAUCUGAAGAAAAGACUGAAAACAUUAAGUAAGUAUCCUCAAAAUGGGGGGGCAAAAUAAAAAAGUCAGAAUGAAAAAUUCAAAAUCUCACUUACAAGAUCAUUUUUAAGCCUGGCCAUAUUGAUGCAAAUAUUUACACUUGUGGAGUGGGCAAAUAUAAAGCUAGAAGCACCAUGAACAUUAUCAGAGAAGUACAAGGAGCUUUGCUUUCAGAAACUUAAGACCAAGCAACUUCAUUAAUUCACUGUUUAUUAACUUACACCAUUGAUGUCAUGUUUUG
ensembl:lncRNA